rnacentral:rRNA from 1 species
GACGAACGCUGGCGGCGUGCUUAACACAUGCAAGUCGAACGGAAAGGCCCUGCUUUUGUGGGGUGCUCGAGUGGCGAACGGGUGAGUAACACGUGAGUAACCUGCCCUUGACUUUGGGAUAACUUCAGGAAACUGGGGCUAAUACCGGAUAGGAGCUCCUGCUGCAUGGUGGGGGUUGGAAAGUUUCGGCGGUUGGGGCUGGACUCGCGGCUUAUCAGCUUGUUGGUGGGGUAGUGGCUUACCAAGGCUUUGACGGGUAGCCGGCCUGAGAGGGUGACCGGCGACAUUGGGACUGGGAUACGGCCCAGACUCCUACGGGAGGCAGCAGUGGGGAAUAUUGCACAAUGGGCGGAAGCCUGAUGCAGCAACGCCGCGUGCGGGAUGGCGGCCUUCGGGUUGUAAACCGCUUUCGCCUGUGACGAAGCGGGAGUGACGGUAAUGGGUAAAGAAGCACCGGCUAACUACGUG